CAUUUUAUUUAUAAUGACGUAUUUAACGUCUCUGCAAUUUUCAGCUCUAUUCGAAUUUUGGCUAAAUUAUGACUUAUUUUUGUCUAUUUUGACUGGACUACUUGUUUUCCAUCAAUGCUGGGAUAAUUGUAUGGCAUGUAAUAGAACAAUAGUUCGGUAAUUUGAUUCUCAAUUCAAAUAUAUAUUUCCUGACCACUUCUACAAUGGGUAAAUCUACCAAGAACACCCUGACAACUUUCCUCUGCAUUUUCAACUCAAUUAUUUUGAUUUGUGGAGUAGCCCUUUUUAUGUUACACAGCUAUAGAUUGCUUACCCUCCGCUCUGUAACGGAGAUUACAAAAGGCGCAACAGACAAUGUUCAGAUGGCUCCGGUAAUAUGUUUAAUUAUUGCUUUAGUGCUUAUAGUUGUAUCAGGGAUUGCGUUUUUUGGGAUAUUAAAUGGGAUAACAAUAAUAUUA